AGAUGGUGUUCCGUGGUUCCUGGUGGCUCCUGGCUGGCUGUCUUCUGUCCUGGUGUUGCAACACCUGGGAGCUGAGCAGUGUGGACUCAGAGACAGAAUCAUCAAUACCUCUGGUGAUCUUUCAUGGGAUAGGAUAUGGAGAACAAGGUCUUGAAUGCUACUGUCGGAUUGUGUGAGAUUCUUGCUAACGAUCCUAAAUUACAGCAAGGGUACAUUGCUGUUACAUUUUCCAAAGAACUCCAGAUGCUGAAGGACUUUGCUGAGAAAUACCCAAUGCCUCCCAUGAAAGAUAUGAUCCCAGUUUCUGGCAGUUAAACAUUAAGAGUGAUGAGGCGACUUUCCUGCUUCCUUAAACUACCAUGAUUGAUCACAAGACAAGUCCACAGGAGUGCAAAGCAUCGUGAACACGGCAGUGCUCUGCACCCCAUUGUGACUCUUGAGACACAACCUAACUGCAAAAGGCCAACCCUGUCUGCAAAGAAGAACUAGUCACUUGCUUCAGCACACAGCCCCCUUCCUCUCUUCUCCUAGCUUGGUGAAAGGUUCCUAGUCUGUAAGAGAGGCAUGCUUGCUUAGUGUGAGCUCUUCUCAGGUUCUCUGAAAUAAACCCGCAUGCAUUUGA